rnacentral:rRNA from 1 species
UACGUAGGGGGCUAGCGUUGCUCGGAAUCACUGGGCGUAAAGGGUGCGUAGGCGGGUUAUUAAGUCAGAGGUGAAAUCCUGGAGCUCAACUCCAGAACUGCCUUUGAUACUGGCGAUCUUGAGUCCGGGAGAGGUGAGUGGAACUGCGAGUGUAGAGGUGAAAUUCGUAGAUAUUCGCAAGAACACCAGUGGCGAAGGCGGCUCACUGGCCCGGUACUGACGCUGAGGUGCGAAAGCGUGGGGAGCAAACAGG